rnacentral:rRNA from 1 species
ACGGAAGUUACAAAGGGCGCAUGGAGGAUGCCUUGGCUCUUGGCGGCGAGGAAGGACGUGCUAAGCUGCGAAAAGCUGCGGGGAGUUGCACAGAAGCUGUGAUCCGCAGAUGUCCGAAUGGGGAAACCCGGCUGGUUGAAGACCAGUCACACCGCAAGGUGAGCAAACCCGGAGAACUGAAACAUCUAAGUACCCGGAGGAAGAGAAAACAACAGUGAUUCCGUAAGUAGUGGCGAGCGAACACGGAUAAGCCCAAACCGUUAUUGUUACGGCAAUAGCGGGGUUAUAGGACAUUCUUUUAGUUAGUUACCGGAAGAAGAACAUGAUUGGAAAAUCAGACCAGAGAGGGUGAUAGUCCCGUACUUGCAAAGGUAAUUAAUGUGAGUGUAUCCUGAGUAAGCCGGGGUUGGAGAAGCCCCGGUUGAAUUGGCCGGCACCAUCCGGUAAGGCUAAAUACGACCAAGAGACCGAUAGUGAAUCAGUACCGUGAGGGAAAGGUGAAAAGAACCGUGCGUAACGGAGUGAAAAGAACCUGAAACCAUGCGCUUACAAGCGGUCGGAGCCCUUUGAUGGGGUGACGGCGUGCCUUUUGCAUAAUGAGCCUACGAGUUACUCUUACUGGCAAGGUUAAAUGUGUUAACACAUGCAGCCGAAGCGAAAGCGAGUCUGAACAGGGCGCUUAGUCAGUAGGAGUAGACGCGAAACUUUGUGAUCUACCCAUGAGCAGGUUGAAGGUACCGUAACAGGUAGUGGAGGACCGAACCAGUAAACGUUGAAAAGUUUUUGGAUGACUUGUGGGUAGGGGUGAAAGGCCAAUCAAACUGAGAAAUAGCUCGUACUCCCCGAAAUGCCUUUAGGGGCAGCCUCUUGUGAUGUUAUACCGAGGUAGAGCGACGGAUAGAACUAGGGGGAGUCACAUCCUACCAAAUUCUGCCCAACUCCGAAUGCGGUGUAAUUAACAAGGGAGUGAGGGCUGGGGUGCUAAGGUCCCAGUCCGAGAGGGAAAGAACCCAGAUCAUCCGCUAAGGUCCCUAAAUCAGGACUAAGUUGAACAAAGGAAGUCUAUCUGCAUUGACAGCCAGGAUGUUUGCUUGGAAGCAGCAAUUCAUUUAAAGAGUGCGUAACAGCUCACUGGUCGAGCGGAUGGGGCAUCGAUAAUAAACGGGCAUCAAGUUUUGUACCGAAGCGAUGAAUGUGAUCCUGAGAAGGACCACGUGGUAGGGGAGCAUUCUUCCGGCGCAGAAGCUGUGAUGUAAGUCAUGGUGGAGCUUGAAGAAAAGCAAAUGUAGGCAUAAGUAACGAUAAAGCAGGCGAGAAACCUGCUCACCGUAAGACUAAGGUUUCCUGAUCAACGUUAAUCGGAUCAGGGUUAGUCGGGGCCUAAGGGGUUAGCGAAGGCGA